UAGGGAAUCUUCCACAAUGGACGCAAGUCUGAUGGAGCAACGCCGCGUGAGUGAAGAAGGUUUUCGGAUCGUAAAGCUCUGUUGUUGGUGAAGAAGGAUAGAGGCAGUAACUGGUCUUUAUUUGACGGUAAUCAACCAGAAAGUCACGGCUAACUACGUGCCAGCAGCCGCGGUAAUACGUAGGUGGCAAGCGUUGUCCGGAUUUAUUGGGCGUAAAGCGAGCGCAGGCGGAAUGAUAAGUCUGAUGUGAAAGCCCACGGCUCAACCGUGGAACUGCAUCGGAAACUGUCAUUCUUGAGUGCAGAAGAGGAGAGUGGAACUCCAUGUGUAGCAGUGGAAUGCGUAGAUAUAUGGAAGAACACCAGUGGCGAAGGCGGCUCUCUGGUCUGCAACUGACGCUGAGGCUCGAAAGCAUGGGUAGCGAACAGGAUUAGAUACCCUGGUAGUCCAUGCCGUAAACGAUGAGCGCUAGGUGUUGGGGCACUUUCCAGUCC
rnacentral:rRNA from 1 species